GAGUGUCAAUUGCAGUGUGCCACGGGCUGUGAGAGCAGCGCGAUCACGUUUCUGUUGAGUGCCCCUAAGCACCACCCGACUUCAGGGGCACAUAUGUACACGGUGCGAAACUCGGCCACAGCCACAGCCACGGACCAACACUCAUCACCAGGACUUCAUUUAUGUAUGGUCGUCGAGUUUAAUGUCUAUAAAUAUCUCUCGUAGCUGAGGUGGAGCAAUGAAGAGCGUUCGUGGGCGACACACAAGGUCGGCCGCAUGUUAAGCUACUGUUGCAUGUCGGUGGGGGAGCACUGUCGCUGUCCCAGGUGCUGAAAGCGCUCGUCAGUCAAUCUGCGGCAAGCCAACGAGACAGUAAACGGUUUUUGAUCGAGACAAUAUGCAUGGACUGAUGUGAAUGCUGAACAAUAGCAAGGCAGUUAACAUAGCUCUAGUCAGAGUAAAUGGAUCUCACGUCCUCUAAUGUUUAAAGGAUGAAGAGAUUUUUCCUGUCAACCGUGCCACUGCUAAUUCUCAGCUGUCUAGGUGUCUCUCGCGUCUUUGCGGACAGUUUGGCGGCUCCUGUCAAUGUGACCAUCAAGGCUCUGAAGUCCAACUCUGCCGUGGUGACAUGGGACAUCCCCGAGGGGGACCUUGUCAUCGGCUUUGCCAUCACACAGCAGAAGAAGGACGUGCGCAUGCUGCGCUUCAUCCAGGAAGUGAACACCACCACCCGCUCCUGUGCAUUAUGGGACUUGGAGGAGGAGACCGACUACAUUGUGCACGUGCAGUCCAUCAGCAUGAGUGGGCCCAUGAGUCAGCACAGCGAACCCCUGCGCUUCCGCACGCCCAAGGAGUCUGAGACACAGGCCUCGAAGAGUAAAGACGAGGUGACCAUGGAGGAAGUGGGAGCUCAGCUGAGGGCAGGGGAGUUCAUCAUUAUCGUGGUGGUGCUGAUCAUGUGGGCAGGUGAGGGGUGGAAUGUUUCAAAAGGUGUGAUCGCUCUCUUCUGCCGUCAGUAUGACAUCAUCAAAGACAACGAGCCCAACACCAACAAGGACAAAGCCAAGACCUCAUCAGAGUGCAGUACUCCAGAGCACCCGACGGGGGGGCUGUUGCGCAGUAAGGUAUAACCCCCUUCUCCUCCCCACUGAGUCCCCACCGUCACCGGGCAGGUGAAUCGUCCCAGCGACUUAAAAAAGUUCCCCAAGAACAACAACAACAACAACCGGGCGCCAUCUGUGAACAUCAUUGAGGUGUGACGGCCAGAACACUCUCUAAUCCAAAGGAUUGAGUGUAUUCUAAACAGAGCAACCAAAGGGCCCUUUAUGCCCAUCUGCUUGUUAGGAUGAGGCUGGGACUGUGGGUCGUGGCCAGCCCUUUGGCAUGGGGCCUGGGUGUGAACUGGGCCCUCAGGACUCCAGGGUCCAGGUCUCAGAGGAGAGGCUCUAGAUGUGGUAGCAGGACUGUGGCUGUCACUGCUCUAAUUAUUGCCAGAAGGUCAAGGAGAUAAGGGCCAAAUGGGUUCAGCUAUGAGUUGAGAGAGAGGAGAAAUUAACAUGGCAAGGGGACUGCAUAUAGCCAGGGCCAGAGACCCUCUCUCUCAGCUUGUUGUUAAUGAACUGAAACACACUGUCCCGGCCCCUGUUCCCCAUACUGCAACCAAGGCUUGAGCACUGUGCACCGUGUGAAAAUGAACUCCCCCUACUGCAUCUCCUCUCUUACAGUGUUUAUUUAUUUGCCUCCUAUUAUGCUCAUUUGCUGUAAGGCACAUACUGUACUCCUUACUAUUGUUUACCUCCUUUGACAUAUUAUACCUCUUAUUCAAAUUAUAUAUCACUGUAUCUGUUUCAUUUUUUAUCAAUCUAUUCACGACAACUUCUUAUUGCUAAAGUACCAGUUCUAUAGAUCUCCUUCUGGCUAAACUCCCUGAAACCUCCUCUGAGAUGUGUUUUCAUUCGAUCAGAGAGCUAGUUAGUUCCCCUCUCAGGGAAUCCAGACAAUACAAGGCUAAUUUUGGAGGCCUUUCUGAAGCAAGCUGGUGGCUAUGACGUCAGAGCAAGAUCAAAAGGAGCACUCAAGACACCCGUGCGGCAGAAUUCUCCAUUUAUCUGGAGAAUUAAAGCUUGUUAGAUCUGACAGCAGAAAAUAACGUUGUCAUUUAUAAACAAAUCUGGUCUCUACAUUUAUCAUUGAUUUACCUUAAAUAUAACCAUUUCCUUUAAAGGUCCAAUGCAGCCAUUUUUUUUACCUCAAUAUCAAAUCAUCUCUGGGCAACAAUGCUACUGUGUUUGUUUUCGGUUAAAAUGAUCAAAAAGAAGAAAACAUUUGCUUCUUAGCAAAGAGCAAUUUCUCAAGCAAGAAUUAUGCUAGGACCAUCUGGGAGUGGUCUGAGUGGGGAGGGGUAAACUGAAAACUAGCUGUUAUUGGCAGAGAGGUUUGGAACUAUCUUUCUUAUUGGACUAUUAAGUUACCAUAUGAUGAUGUCACCAUGGAAAGCCCAAAGCUCCAUUCCACCAAAAUGGCUGAAAUUUCAGGCAGUCUUUUCAAACUGCUCUUACAAUAAAAGGGCUUUAUCCAAAUUUUCACAAUUACACAGUAUUAUUCCAAUCUCAGUGUGCAAAUAUACACUGCUCAAAAAAAUAAAGGGAACACUUAAACAACACAAUGUAACUCCAAGUCAAUCACACUUCUGUGAAAUCAAACUGUCCACUUAGGAAGCAACACUGAUUGACAAUAAAUUUCACAUGCUGUUGUGCAAAUGGAAUAGACAAAAGGUGGAAAUGAUAGGCAAUUAGCAAGACACCCACAAUAAAGGAAUGGUUCUGCAGGUGGUGACCACAGACCACUUUUCAGUUCCUAUGCUUCCUGGCUGAUGUUUUGGUCACUUUUGAAUGCUGGCGGUGCUCUCACUCUAGUGGUAGCAUGAGACGGAGUCUACAACCCACACAAGUGGCUCAGGUAGUGCAGCUCAUCCAGGAUGGCACAUCAAUGCGAGCUGUGGCAAAAAGGUUUGCUGUGUCUGUCAGCGUAGUGUCCAGAGCAUGGAGGCGCUACCAGGAGACAGGCCAGUACAUCAGGAGACGUGGAGGAGGCCGUAGGAGGGCAACAACCCUGCAGCAGGACCGCUAGCUCCGCCUUUGUGCAAGGAGGUGCACUGCUAGAGCCCUGCAAAAUGACCUCCAGCAGGCCACUGAGGAAGGGCUAAACAGGCCUCUCCAUGACAGCAAUAACAGCCCUGAGUGGAGCAUCUCACACACCGGCAGGUCAUGAAGCCCCUGUCCACCUACACUCAACCUCCCAGCCACACUUAAUGCAGGGGGACUUUAAAAGGUGAUUAAAUAAGUUUAAAGUCCUAUUUUAUGAGUAACCUUGUUUAUGAAAAGACCUUUCUAUGAAACACCUGCCACCCCCAACUUUCCCAGAUCUAAUCAACGACGUGAUCACAAGCUAUAGGGCUGGGAAGUGCCAGAGACCUCACAAUACGAUAUUAUCACGAUACUUUGGUGCCGAUACGAUAUGCAUUGCCAUUCUCACGAUUCUAUAUGUAUUCCAAUUCGACUUUGAUUUUUUUACGAUUCGAUGUUCCAAACAUAUUGCUCACCAUAUAUAUGCUGCAGAGGAACAAAAGAUAGCCAUGAGAAAACAAGUUUUGAUCAGUCAUGGAAAUAAAAAUGCUGAAAACAAAUUGUCUCCCUAUUUAAAAAGAUAAUGGAAAACAAGUUUUGCUGCAGGUACAGCCAACGGGCGCAAAUAUAAUAUUGCGAUAGUCAAAACGAUACAUCGUCAAAAAUAAUAUCCCGAUAUGUAACUGUAUCGAUCUUUCCCCCAUCACUAAUGAGCUCCAUAUAUUCGUUCUAAACUUUGACCCCUUUGAUUCAGUCCCAUCUGACAUCAUCAUUAGUAGUCAUCUUCACAGAAGGGCUUCCACUGAAUCAUCUUCAGUGUGAGAGUCCAUCCUCCCCACCCCAUGUACUGUAUCACAGGCAGGUGUUGACAUGCUGUAUGAAGAGACUAUGCUGUGGAGAUUCUCAAAUGGGCCAAACAACCUCCUCCACAUCCCCAUGAAGGGGACAUUGCUGUGGUAAUGUGUUUAAGGUCUGAUUUAAAAAAGCACUGCCUUAAACACCUAAAUAUUCCAUUUUGUUUGAUAGGAUGGAAUGGUAAGGGUCCAAUUUGUUCCACCUUUUCCAUCUAGUAUUUCCCUGCCACUUGGCCCAUGGAGGCUGCAGUAUGUUAUGUUAAACAUCUGUGGUCUGUCUGUAUCCAUUAUGAGAUGGUAUAGGAGGAAAACUAGAAUUUGAUUUAUUUUCUAAGGGAUGGGCGAAUGUAAUGCUAAAUAAAGAGCAUGACAGAAAUGUGUACAUACGUUUUCUCAUCAGUUAUGUGGUUUCUAGAAAUGCUACAUAAAAGUAUUAUUAUUUGAGAAAUGUGUCAACCUUUUCACAUUCUGUAAAGAGUGGUAUUGGUAAAAGAAAUGUGUCUUCAGGAAAAGAUUUUUGAAGUCUUACGGGCAAUGUAAAUGUUAUUGGAGAGACUGAACAUUUGUUCAUGACACUUUGCUUUCAAUGUCUUUCUAACAUUCUAUGGCUGUCCUAUUUAACCUAUAUCCAAUGUACAAGAAUCUUGUUAAAAUGUGCAUAUAGAGGAAUAGAGAAAGGUAAAUUUACAGCCAAGGGAGGAGGCAGGAAGGUAGACUAUUCUGUAUUUUACUCUCACUGAUUACUCCAGUUCUGUUAUGACGCAUCACAUUGUGUCAGACUAGCCCUUAAUGAACUGUCACUGUAAAACACAUCAAACAACCUUCUGUUACUCUCCACUUUCCCACUGCACGCAAGCACACACACACACACCGAAAUAACACACACAGUAAUUUCGCCUGUACCUGUCACGGUGAACAGACCUCUCUGCAGGUGAUUAACCUUGGCUGUGGGGGAGUGGCAGACUAAUGACAGGCAGAGCACAGCGAUGUAUAAAUAGGGGGGAGAGGGUUGACUGAUGACUAAUAAAAUAUAAAAGGUU